CUGGCCGUCUGUGAUACCGCAGGCAGGAAUGCUGAAGCCGUUGCGAUUUCACAACGGUAGCUGACAGGCUAAGCCACCAGCUCAUCACCACCAAAUGACCGUGGUCAUCUCCCAGCAUCCUCUCUGCCCUCCCCCAAGACCCUCAGCCUGUCCUGUAUCCUGGACCUUCUUCUGGUCCCCCUGUGGACCUAUGGAGCCCUCCAUCCUCAGCAUUUUCCCACGCCGUCAGCUCCCCGCCUCAUCUGGGCCUCCCUGUGGAACAAGUCAGUUGAAAUCAGUUUCUUCUGUUAUCUGGAGAUUAAGGUGCUUUAUAUCACAGGAGUUUACAUGACUUUCUGGAAAAAACAGAAGCAUGGCGUGAAGGAACCGGGCUGAUCUAUCCGGGCUGCCAAGACUGUGAGCCCUUACACAAAACAGCAAGAGGAAAAACAACAUUCACUUUGCACAAAUUAUGCCCCUACCUUAAUCUUUGCAGCUAAUGAACAAAACACAGCCCAGCCAUACAUUUAUUUGGCUCCCUACUCCUUCCAUGCCUGAUGUGCUUUGCUCAUCUUGAGCUAUAAGUAAAU